rnacentral:rRNA from 1 species
GAGGAUAACUCCGAGAAAUCGGGGCUAAUACUCGAUGAUGCAGCGGCACCGCAUGGUGACAGUUGUUAAAAGCCCGCAAGGGUGCCUAAAGAUGGGCCUGCGUCCCAUUAGGUAGUUGGUGAGGUAACGGCCCACCAAGCCUACGAUGGGUAGCUGGUCUGAGAGGAUGAUCAGCCACACUGGAACUGAGAUACGGUCCAGACUCCUACGGGAGGCAGCAGUGAGGAAUAUUGCGCAAUGUCCGAAAGGGUGACGCAGCGACGCCGCGUGGAGGAUGAAGGCCCUAUGGGUCGUAAACUCCUUUUGAGAGGGAAGAAUAGUCUCGUAUAGCGAGAUUUGACGGUACCUCUAGAAAAAGCACCGGCCAACUACGUGCCAGCAGCCGCGGUAAUACGUAGGGUGCAAGCGUUGUCCGGAUUUACUGGGUGUAAAGGGAGCGCAGGCGGGUUAGCAAGUCGUUGGUGAAAUUCUGAGGCUCAACCUCAGAACUGCCAAUGAUACUGCUGAUCUUGAGUACAGAAGAGGAAGACGGAAUUCCUGGUGUAGCGGUGAAAUGCGUAGAUAUCAGGAAGAACACCGGUGGCGAAGGCGGUCUUCUGGUCUGUAACUGACGCUCAUGCUCGAAAGCGUGGGGAGCAAACAGGAUUAGAUACCCUGGUAGU